UCUAUGGAGUGACUCCUCAGGUUUUAGCCACAGUAUUUCCUUUAUAUUCUAUUUUUAUUCCUGUUUUACUGUUGUAUUUUUGUCUAAUCUGUCUUAUGACUUGUUAUGUCUUAAUUAAUGUUUAUAUGUCUUUUUUGUUCAGCACCUUGUGUUCAACAGCAAGUUGUUGAUAAGUGCUAUAUAAAUAAAGUGAUUGAUUGAUUGAUUGAUUGAUAUAUCUCUUGUUUCUAAUCUUAGCCAUGAGUUGUUUUUGUACACCUCUCUAUUACUUAAGGCUCUAUAAAUGCCUCAAGAAUUAAAGCAAUUCUCAGUAAAAACUAAUGUAACUCUGUAGAGACUGUUGAAAAUGUCAUAAAAGCCAGACAACAAUAGAGCCAUGAUCCCUUAAAAAAUUACAAAAACAAAAAAUCCUUAGGUGAUCUACAGUAGAGGCAACUGGUGUAUUUCAUAGACCAUUAAAAUACAAACCUCCUGAACAAACUGAACAUUUUAGCCUAAAGAAAAAAAAAACAACUUUAUAGCAUUAAAACUAUGAUCCAUUAUGACUAUUUUGAUUAAAAGACUUUCGCAGAAAAAUAAACAUUUUGACUUUAGCCUAAAAACAAAGCAAAUUUAAAAAAAAAAAUAAAGUGUGUGUAAAAUCUGUUGUAAUAUCUAAGUGUUACAAUUUCUUCAAGGUGUUGUCUUUUUCUUUCUUCAUUCUUUAACUUUAAGCAACUUAAUUUAUAAUCAGAUUUAUCAUUCUGUAAUGUUGAAAUGAAAGACUCAUUCUAAUAGCAGGUAUAAAACCAAGUGUUUGUAUAAGAUUUUCUUUUAAUUCCAAUCAAAUGACUUUAAUGGUGAAUUUGUGAAAUUAGGACAUUUUAAAGAUGUAUCAUUGUUUGUCUAAUAGGUCCUGACAUGACACUAGAAGAUUUUGUAAUGAUGGCAGUUUUCCAACUGCUCUGCUCUGGUAUAUAAGAGAGGUCUAACAGCCAGUUCAGCACUGCAGAAACCUCCAGGAUCUUCUCUGACCGUCUGUUGAAGCUGUGUGAACAGUAAAUCAACCAUGCUGAAGGUAGCAAUUGUGCUGGGAUUUCUUCUGAGCCUCAUUGUGGCUGAACCUAUGGAGCAUCAGCGGUUUGCCCGCUCCAGCUCUGGUUCCAACUCAAAUGAGUCCUCCAACACUUCCAUAAACAACGUGCUGCUCCAGCUUCUCCUUGCUCUCCUGCAACAAACAACUGCAGCUACGACUACGACUGCAGCAACUACAACUGCUACCACUGUAGCAGCUACAACCAAAUAAAUGGAGACAUCUAGUGAAUGAAGAUCAAGCUUUUCUCCAAAAAUCGCACCGUUUUAAUGGAUGUGUGGUCAAAUAAAUAACAUCAGUGCAAAAUAUUGUGUAUGACUUUGUUUAAAACCUCGUUCCUGGGAAAAUAAAUCUAUUAAAAUUUCAAAUGAAUCACUAGAAUAAUACUUACAUGCUUCAAAUAUGAAAACACAAACCUGAAAAUUACUUUAAAUCGUGAAAACAAAAAAUAUUUGUAAAAUAAGUGUUCCUUGAAAAAUUUUUUAAAACUUGCAUUUUUAUAAAUUAUUUUAAAAUUAAACGUUAGGCUUGGAUUAUUCAUACUUCCUUUGACCAAACUUUUUUUUAUUGUAUUCAAGUUAAAAAAACAGUUUCACAUGGAAUAUUAUUUUUUCAUAUUAAGAUAUUAAGAACCAUGACCAGCUUUUGAGUCAUGUCUAUACAUAACAGAACUAUUCUUAUAAGCAUGCACACUGUAAAGUGGGUGUUCCUGUAGGACUGGAGAUGAUCCAAAGCGAUAGGAGUCAUCUUGUGACCACAUAAAAAAAUAAAAAUGACAGCUACUCCUGAAACAUAACAAAAGCAUUAACAAAUCAAUUUUGAAAACUUAAAACUGUUCAUUUUUUUUCUUUACUGAAACAAAAAUGGACCAAGAGAAAUUGAAAAAAGACACAUUUUAUUCUUAGACAUUGUGGAAAACAAAGAAAUCAAGUUUCACUAAAUCAAAAUAUGGGAGAUUGAGAGCAAAAAAACAAAAUCUUUUUGCAAAAAAGAAAUUAAAGUCACGGAUUUAACUAAACCUGCUUAAAAAAAAAAAAAAAAAAAAAAAAUGAAAUAAAACAAAAAAGUCCCCCAACAAUUCAAGUCUGAGGGGCUCAGUGUGAAAGAGGACACAUUUUAAGGGUUCACUUUGACCAAAGCUAAAACUGUUUUCACAGUGAUGGCCACUUUAGGAACAAAAAAACAUACUCAGUGUGAUCCAAAAAGUUUGCUGAAAAUCUUCUUUAUGAUUGAACUCCGCCCCAUUUAACCCGUGAGUUUAAUUAAGUUUUCAGAGAAUAUAUUUUCAUCAUUCAGCUGUUUCUGUUUGUGUGGGUUGCAUUCAGCAUCUCCUUUUCAGGCAAUUCCUUCUUUUGUUUCUUCCUUUAGUUUUGCUUUGUUUGACCUUUUGGAUUUCUGGUCCACCAACCCAACUACCAACCACUUAAGGAGAACCUGUAAACCAGUUCCCCAAAUCCAGACCAGUCGUUUAGCGCUCCAACAUAAUGGACAAUACUCAGCUGAAAGGCUGUGAUUAGCAUUGGCACUCCCAAAUAGUAUUAAAACCCGUUGCAAUAAUUUUAGGGUAUUAAAAAAAAAAAAAA